rnacentral:rRNA from 1 species
AACGAACGCUGGCGGCAUGCCUAACACAUGCAAGUCGAACGAUUGCCUUCGGGUGAUAGUGGCGCACGGGUGCGUAACGCGUGGUAAUCUGCCCUUAGGUUCGGAAUAACAGCUGGAAACGGCUGCUAAUACCGGAUGAUAUCGCGAGAUCAAAGAUUUAUCGCCUGAGGAUGAGCCUGCGUUGGAUUGGGUAGGUGGUGGGGUACAGGCCUACCAAGCCGAGGAUCCAUAGCUGGUCUGUGAGGAUGAUCAGCGAGACUGGGACUGGGACACGGCCCAGACUCGUGGGGGAGGCAGGAGUGAGUGAUAUAGGACAAUGGGCGCAAGGCUGAUCCAGCAAUGCCGCGUGAGUGAUGAAGGCGCUGGGGUUGGAUAGCUCUUUUACCCGGGAAGAGAAUGACUGUACCGGGAGAAUAAGCCCCGGCUAACUCCGUG